UUAACUCAUAUUUGUAUGGAAUGGGAUCGUUUGCGUACGUUUGCCGCUAGGGGCGCUGUUCUAACUGCAUACAAAAUUGCGUAA
rnacentral:pre_miRNA from 1 species